rnacentral:rRNA from 1 species
AGCGAACGCUGGCGGCAGGCCUAACACAUGCAAGUCGAACGAACCUUUCGGGGUUAGUGGCGGACGGGUGAGUAACACGUGGGAACGUGCCUUUAGGUUCGGAAUAACUCAGGGAAACUUGUGCUAAUACCGAAUGUGCCCUUCGGGGGAAAGAUUUAUCGCCUUUAGAGCGGCCCGCGUCUGAUUAGCUAGUUGGUUGAGGUAAUGGCUCACCACGGCGACGAUCAGUAGCUGGUCUGAGAGGAUGAUCAGCCACAUUGGGACUGAGACACGGCCCAAACUCCUACGGGAGGCAGCAGUGGGGAAUCUUGCGCAAUGGGCGAAAGCCUGACGCAGCCAUGCCGCGUGAAUGAUGAAGGUCUUAGGAUUGUAAAAUUCUUUCACCGGGGACGAUAAUGACGGUACCCGGAGAAGAAGCCCCGGCUAACUUCGUG